UGCCCAGAAACUCCUAUCCCUACCUCUUCGUGGUACUGGCAGGAGUACGAGUAACCUUGGGGACGAUCGGGGAACCAACCGGUGGGAACUUUGGUCGUAUGCUAACAGGGAAGG
rnacentral:ribozyme from 1 species